rnacentral:rRNA from 1 species
GACGAACGCUGGCGGCGUGCUUAACACAUGCAAGUCGAACGGAAAGGCCCUGCUCUUGUGGGGUGCUCGAGUGGCGAACGGGUGAGUAACACGUGAGUAACCUGCCCUUGAAUUUGGGAUAACACCAGGAAAAUGGGGCUAUUACCGGAGAGGAGCUACUGCUGCACGGGGGGGGAUGGAGAGAUUCGGCGGUUGGGGAUGGACUCGCGGCUUAUCCGCUUGUUGGUGAGGUAGUGGCUUACCAAGUCUUUGACGGGUAGCCGGCCUGAGAGGGUGACCGGCCACAUGGGGACUGAGAUACGGCCCAGACUGCUACGGUAGGCAGCAGUGGGGAAUAUGGCACAGUGGGCGGGAGCCUGAUGCGGCAGCGCCGCGUGCGGGAUGACGGCCUUCGGGUUAUAAACCGCUUUCUCCUGUGACGAAGCGUGAGUGACGGUAAUGGGUAAAGAAGCACCGGCUAACUACGUG